rnacentral:lncRNA from 1 species
AAAAGCAGAGGGGCUGAAAAUGGAGCGGCAGGGGGUUUUGGCAGUCGUGGAUUUUGGGAUAUUAUUAGCACCCUCCCACCCCAAGCACCACCAGAUAAGCGACUGUCUACAAUCGCCCCCGAAUCAACGCUCCCAACGCUCCCAAGAAAGGGGCUAUGACUGUAACAGACAAGCUUCAUUUCCCGACGUUGGUACCAGGACCGCGAGAAGCGCAGGAGUCAGACCACUAAGGAACUUAAUAGCUCUUCACUGGGGAGCGCAUUCCAAGGGAAACAACAGUGAUGACAAAAGGAACUGUGGUAGUGAAGGAGAAGAGCAAACACAAGCGGAAGCAUUGCCAAACUGGCUGCAGAUUUGCAACAAGUGCAACUGACGGCUUGGUUUCU